GAUGAACGCUGGCGGCGUGCCUAAUACAUGCAAGUCGAGCGAACGGACGAGAAGCUUGCUUUUCUGAUGUUAGCGGCGGACGGGUGAGUAACACGUGGAUAACCUACCUAUAAGACUGGGAUAACUUCGGGAAACCGGAGCUAAUACCGGAUAAUAUUUUGAACCGCAUGGUUCAAAAGUGAAAGACGGUCUUGCUGUCACUUAUAGAUGGAUCCGCGCUGCAUUAGCUAGUUGGUAAGGUAACGGCUUACCAAGGCAACGAUGCAUAGCCGACCUGAGAGGGUGAUCGGCCACACUGGAACUGAGACACGGUCCAGACUCCUACGGGAGGCAGCAGUAGGGAAUCUUCCGCAAUGGGCGAAAGCCUGACGGAGCAACGCCGCGUGAGUGAUGAAGGUCUUCGGAUCGUAAAACUCUGCUAUUAGGGAAGAACAUAUGUGUAAGUAACUGUGCACAUCUUGACGGUGCCUAAUCAGAAAGCCACGGCUAACUACGUG
rnacentral:rRNA from 1 species